rnacentral:rRNA from 1 species
CAGCAGCCGCGGUAAUACGUAGGUGGCAAGCGUUGUCCGGAAUUAUUGGGCGUAAAGGGCUCGCAGGCGGUUUCUUAAGUCUGAUGUGAAAGCCCCCGGCUCAACCGGGGAGGGUCAUUGGAAACUGGGAAACUUGAGUGCAGAAGAGGAGAGUGGAAUUCCACGUGUAGCGGUGAAAUGCGUAGAGAUGUGGAGGAACACCAGUGGCGAAGGCGACUCUCUGGUCUGUAACUGACGCUGAGGAGCGAAAGCGUGGGGAGCGAACAGGAUUAGAUACCCGCGUAGUCCCUGUCUUUAUACA